rnacentral:piRNA from 1 species
UGGGUUNUUCCAGUAGGGGUUCAGGGUCUA